UACGUAGGGUGCGAGCGUUGUCCGGAAUUAUUGGGCGUAAAGGGCUCGUAGGCGGUUUGUCGCGUCUGCCGUGAAAGUCCGGGGCUCAACUCCGGAUCUGCGGUGGGUACGGGCAGACUAGAGUGAUGUAGGGGAGACUGGAAUUCCUGGUGUAGCGGUGAAAUGCGCAGAUAUCAGGAGGAACACCGGUGGCGAAGGCGGGUCUCUGGGCAGUAAUCUGACGCUGAGGAGCGAAAGCGUGGGGAGCGAACAGG
rnacentral:rRNA from 1 species